GGGCUUGUAGCUUAAUUGGUCAGAGCGCACUUCUACUCAGCUUAUUGCCCUGUGAGAUCUGAGGUUCGAAUCCCAGCGGCCCA
rnacentral:tRNA from 2 species